rnacentral:rRNA from 1 species
UACCAGCACCCCGAGUGGUCGGGACGUUUAUUGGGCCUAAAGCAUCCGUAGCCGGUUCUACAAGUCUUCCGUUAAAUCCAGCUGCUUAACAGAUGGGCUGCGGAAGAUACUAUGGAGCUAGGAGGCGGGAGAGGCAAGCGGUACUCGAUGGGUAGGGGUAAAAUCCGUUGAUCCAUUGAAGACCACCCGUGGCGAAGGCGGCUUGCCAGAACGCGCUCGACGGUGAGGGAUGAAAGCUGGGGGAGCAAACCGG